GCAGGUGAUCGCCGUUGAAAGACGGUUCCUCUCGGAGGCACCUGCACAGGUGCUGCAUGGCUGUCGUCAGCUCGUGUCGUGAGAUGUUGGGUUAAGUCCCGCAACGAGCGCAACCCUUAUCCCCAGUUGCCAUCAGGUAAAGCUGGGAACUCUGGGGAGACUGCCGGUGAUAAACCGGAGGAAGGCGGGGAUGACGUCAAGUCCUCAUGGCCCUUACAUCCCGGGCUACACACGUGCUACAAUGGCAGGUACAGAGGGCUGCGAAGCCGCGAGGUGGAGCGAAUCCCAGAAAAACCUGUCUCAGUCCGGAUUGAAGUCUGCAACUCGACUUCAUGAAGGCGGAAUCGCUAGUAACCGCGAAUCAGCAGGUCGCGGUGAAUACGUUCCCGGGCCUU
rnacentral:rRNA from 1 species